rnacentral:rRNA from 1 species
GAUGAACGCUGGCGGCGUGCCUAAUACAUGCAAGUCGAGCGAACGGACGAGAAGCUUGCUUCUCUGAUGUUAGCGGCGGACGGGUGAGUAACACGUGGAUAACCUACCUAUAAGACUGGGAUAACUUCGGGAAACCGGAGCUAAUACCGGAUAAUAUUUUGAACCGCAUGGUUCAAAAGUGAAAGACGGUCUUGCUGUCCCUUAUAGCUGGAUCCGCGCUGCAUUAGCUAGUUGGUAAGGUAACGGCUUACCAAGGCAACGAUGCAUAGCCGACCUGAGAGGGUGAUCGGCCACACUGGAACUGAGACACGGUCCAGACUCCUACGGGAGGCAGCAGUAGGGAAUCUUCCGCAAUGGGCGAAAGCCUGACGGAGCAACGCCGCGUGAGUGAUGAAGGUCUUCGGAUCGUAAAACUCUGUUAUUAGGGAAGAACAUAUGUGUAAGUAACUGUGCACAUCUUGACGGUACCUAAUCAGAAAGCCACGGCUAACUACGUG